UACAGAGGGUGCAAGCGUUAAUCGGAAUUACUGGGCGUAAAGCGUGCGUAGUCGGUUAUUUAAGUCGGGUGUGAAAGCCCCGGGCUCAACCUGGGAAUUGCAUUCGAUACUGGAUAGCUAGAGUUCGGCAGAGGGAAGCGGAAUUUCCGGUGUAGCGGUGAAAUGCGUAGAUAUCGGAAGGAACAUCAGUGGCGAAAGCGGCUUCCUGGACCAGAACUGACGAUCAGGCUCGAAAGCGUGGGGAGCGAACAGG
rnacentral:rRNA from 1 species